AACUGACGCUGAGAUUCGAAAGCGUGGGUAGCAAACAGGAUUAGAUACCCUGGUAGUCCACGCUGUAAACGAUGGAUGCUUGUCGUUGGGAGUGUUAACCCUUUCAGUGACGAAGCUAACGCGUUAAGCAUCCCGCCUGGGGAGUACGGUCGCAAGAUUAAAACUCAAAGAAAUUGACGGGGACCCGCACAAGCAGUGGAGCAUGUGGUUCAAUUCGACGCAACGCGAAGAACCUUAUCCUGGUCUUGACAUCCUCUGACCGCCAGCGAAAGUUGGUUUUCACCUUCGGGUGACAGAGAGACAGGUGCUGCAUGGCUGUCGUCAGCUCGUGUCGUGAGAUGUUGGGUUAAGUCCCGUAACGAGCGCAACCCACGCCUCUUGUUGCCAUCAUUAAGUUGGGCACUCUAGAGGGACUGCUAGCGUUAAGCUGGAGGAAGGUGUGGAUGACGUCAAGUCCUCAUGGCCCUUAUGACCAGGGCUACACACGUGCUACAAUGCAGAGUACAAAGGGCCGCGAAGUGGUGACACGGAGCCAAUCCCAAAAAACUCUGCUCAGUUCGGAUUGUAGUCUGCAACUCGACUACAUGAAGCUGGAAUUGCUAGUAAUCACAGAUCAGCAUGCUGUGGUGAAUACGUUCCCGGGUCUUGUACACACCGCCCGUCACACCACGAAAGUUGUUUGCACCAGAAGUCGCUGAGCUAACCGCAAGGAGGCAAGCGCCCAAGGUGUGUGCAAUGAUUGGGGUGAAGUCGUAACAAGGUAACCAAGGG
rnacentral:rRNA from 1 species